rnacentral:rRNA from 1 species
AAUGGGCGGAAGCCUGAUGCAGCGACGCCGCGUGGGGGAUGACGGCCUUCGGGUUGUAAACCUCUUUCGUCGGGGAAGAAGCCUUUCGGGGUGACGGUACCCGGAGAAGAAGCACCGGCUAACUACGUGCCAGCAGCCGCGGUAAUACGUAGGGUGCGAGCGUUGUCCGGAAUUAUUGGGCGUAAAGAGCUUGUAGGCGGUUUGUCGCGUCUGCGGUGAAAACCUAACGCUUAACGUUGGGCGUGCCGUGGGUACGGGCAGGCUAGAGUGUGGUAGGGGAGACUGGAAUUCCUGGUGUAGCGGUGAAAUGCGCAGAUAUCAGGAGGAACACCGAUGGCGAAGGCAGGUCUCUGGGCCAUAACUGACGCUGAGAAGCGAAAGCAUGGGGAGCGAA